rnacentral:rRNA from 1 species
CCCUUAGAUGUUCUGGGCUGCACGCGCGCUACACUGAUGCGAUCAACAAGUUUUUCCUAUGUCGAUAGACACGGGUAAUCUUUUGAACUCGCAUCGUGAUGGGGAUAGAUUAUUGUAAUUUUUAAUCUUCAACGAGGAAUUCCUAGUAGGUGCAAAUCAUCAGUUUGCAUCGAUUACGUCCCUGCCCUUUGUACACACCGCCCGUCGCUGCUACCGAUUGGUUGAUCUGGUGAAUUAUUCGGACUGCCGGCUGAAGGGGUUUCCUCAUCUGCCAGCGGAAAGUCUUGUUAACCCUAUCAACUAGAGGAAGCAGAAGUCGUAACA